UAGGGAAUCUUCCACAAUGGACGAAAGUCUGAUGGAGCAACGCCGCGUGAGUGAAGGAGGGUUUCGGCUCGUAAAACUCUGUUGUUAAAGAAGAACAUAUCUGAGAGUAACUGUCCAGGUAUUGACGGUAUUUAACCAGAAAGCCACGGCUAACUACGUGCCAC
rnacentral:rRNA from 1 species